GCGGUAGUUCAGUUGGUUAGAAUACCGGCCUGUCACGCCGGGGGUCGCGG
rnacentral:tRNA from 1 species